rnacentral:misc_RNA from 1 species
GAUGAAGAACGCAGCGAAAUGCGAUAAGUAAUGUGAAUUGCAGAAUUCCGUGAAUCAUCGAAUCUUUGAACGCACAUUGCGCCCGCCAGUAUUCUGGCGGGCAUGCCUGUUCGAGCGUCAUUACAACCCUCAGGCCCCCGGGCCUGGCGUUGGGGAUCGGCGGAAGCCCCCUGCGGGCACAACGCCGUCCCCCAAAUACAGUGGCGGUCCCGCCGCAGCUUCCAUUGCGUAGUAGCUAACACCUCGCAACUGGAGAGCGGCGCGGCCACGCCGUAAAACACCCAACUUCUGAAUGUUGACCUCGAAUCAGGUAGGAAUACCCGCUGAACUUAAGCAUAUCAAUAAGCGGAGGA